rnacentral:rRNA from 1 species
AUUGAACGCUGGCGGCAGGCCUAACACAUGCAAGUCGAACGAGUGGCGGACGGGUGAGUAAUGUCUGGGAAACUGCCUGAUGGAGGGGGCUAACUACUGGAAACGGUAGCUAAUACCGCAUACCAUUAGAUGUGCCCAUAUGGGCUUAGCUAGUUGGUGGGGUAACGGCCGACCAAGGCGACGAUCACUAGCUGGUCUGAGAGGAUGACCGGCCACACUGGAACUGAGAAACGGUCCAGACGCCUACGGUAGGCAGCAGUGGGGAAUGUUGCACAAUGGGCGCAAGCCUGAUGCAGCCAGGCCGCGUGUAUGAAGAAGGCCUUCGGGUUGUAAAGGACUUUCGGCGGGGAGGCGUUACCCGCAGAAGAAGCACCGGCUAACUCCGUGCCAGCAGCCGCGGUAAUUC